CCGGGAGCGAGGCUCUUAAAUCAAUUUGGAAAUUGUUUCCAUGUAAUAUGAAUGGACUUGGUAAGGGAAUAGAAAUCCCUGCCAAAUCCCUACCUUGAAUAGGAUGAAAAAUUAGAUUAAUCUGAAAAAAGCAGUCAGCAGGCAGUUACUUACCCUGUUUUAGAGAUCUGGGAGGACUGGGAAAAUUGCGGCAUGGUGUAGCAGAAAGAGCAGGUCUUUAGAGUUAAACAGACUGGGCUUUGCGUCCUGGGUCUGCCACUUAACAGUUGUGAACUUUAAGUGCCUCAUCCUGCCUGAACCUCUGUUUCCUUAAUUCCGGGGUAGGGAUGACAACGCCUGCCUUGCUGGACUGCUGGGAGCAUUAGUGACAGCAGAUGUGAAGCAUCUCACGCAGAGUGGGGAUGGAUAAACAGCGGCUACAGGCACCUACCUCCUGGAAAAGGGCUGCUGUCAUAUUUGAGGCACUCUCAGGCCCCUGGGCCAGCUUUUCCAGGGACAAGGGGCAUUCCCAUGGGUGUUGCACAUCGACCUUUGGUCUCAUGUAAAACUCAUCUUAUUCAUAGAUACAGAGUGUACAGAUAUUUGGGUGACCUGCUUUAUUUUACUUAAUGCCGUAGGUAUUUUCCACAUUGCCAGAGCCUGCAUAAUUAAAAUGUGUGAUCGUUGUGAACAGUAAGAUGUACAUGUCAGGCCAUUUUUUUGAUAUUUAGGUUGUUUCUGGUUGUUUAUUGGUAGAGACAAUGUUACAGUGGGGCAAUGGAGCCCCCCCUCCUCCAGUAUUUUAGGUUAUGAUUAUUUUUUAUCCUAUUUCCAGAAGUGGGAUGAAGAUCCCCCCAGUUCUUGACUUAUUUGUCCACAUUGCUCUUCAGAUGUCUGUACCAUUAAUACUGUCACCAACAACAUAUGACUGCAUCGAUUGUUAUCAAACUCUUGCCAGAAUUAAGAAUCACUUCUCAAUAUUUUUAAAGGGGAUAUAAAAUGUGGCUACAUUAUUCUUUUUUAGAAAGUGUGGUUCCUCUGUGAUGUGUCAGAGUGGUCGGUGGACUGUACUUCCCAGGAUUCCCUCUGUGUGUUUCUGCCUCUUGUGGCCACGGGAGGGGUUCCUGUGUGGGCCUCAGAGGGCAGAAGUGAAGCCACAGCCCUCGGCCACACACGUGUGUUGUCCUCAGUUCCUGGCCUGUCUCAGGGGCGUGAGGCAGGGCCGGGCCUCAAAUUGCAACUUGUUCCCCUGGAUCCUCCUACUUCUAGGUAGGGAGUGUGCAUUUAAGUCCAUGAGGAGGAGCUGGCUUCGAGGACACACAACACCUCAAGGCCAGAUGGACAGGGGUUUGUCCAUCCUCGUGGGCUCCGUUCAUCCUGGGGCUCCAGCCUGUUCUUGCUUUCCCACCUGGCAGCCAUCUUCCUGGCCCCACGGACAGCCCUGUGGACUUUAAGCUCCAGUGCCAGAUGGAAAGACAACAGCCUUGGGAGACUGCUUAACAAGCUCCCCAAAGGGUCAGAGCCUGGAAACAAUGUUCCUUCAAUCCUUUGCCAGCAGGGAUCUUCUUUAGUUUCUGCCAAUAAGGGCCACUGGUGUAAAAUUUGGAAACCAGACAAAGAGAAGCUGACUUUUGGCAAUGGCGUGAGACAUGGGCAUCAAUAAAGGCUGGGUGAGCUCUGCCAGUGGCUUUCAGGCGUGAGUCAUCUGUUCACACAGUUGAGAUCUGCAGUGGCUGUCCCUGCAGUCUCCACUUCCUGGAUUCCUGAAUGCUUCCGAAGCUUCCCUGACCUUGACUCUCUCCCCAACAGCUUCGUAAGCCUGUAAUCUCCUGCAUUAAUCUCCUCUCCAUUGAAGGACCUGGAGGGUUUCCAUUUUCCCAGGCAAACCCUGUCUGAGACGUAUCCCCACUAGCACUGCAUAAGAGCUCCCAGGGCCCCACCUCCUCACCACACAGUGCUUGUCAACCCUUCGGUCAGUUGCGGAAGUGAACAAUAGUAUCUCGUUGUAGUUUUAGUUUCAGAAUUGUGCGUGUAGAAUUGAUGUUUUGUUUGUAUGUUUAACAGCCAUUUGUAUUUUCUUUUUUAUAAACCAGGUUCGUAUCCUUUGAUUAUUUUUCUGUUGUGUUAUUGAUGGGUGUUGUCACCUACAUGGAUCAUACCUGUUAGCACACUUAAAAAUUUUUUUAAAAAAUAUCUUUUUAAAAAAUUAAUAAGAAAUAGCACUGUAUGACAUAAAUGGCAAAACUUUUCUCUGGUUUUCAGUUUGUCUUUUGACUUACUUUAUAUGUACUUCUUGACAUGAAGAUUAAAACAUUUUCAUGUAAUCCAACGUUUUUUCUUUUAUGGAUUUCUUUUUUUUUUGGAGACAGAGUCUCACCCUGUGGCCCAGGCUGGAGUGCAGUGGUAUGAUCUCGGCUCACUGCAACCUCUACUUCCCAGGUUCAAGCGAUUCUCA
rnacentral:lncRNA from 1 species